rnacentral:rRNA from 1 species
CAGUCGCCACGGGAAUACGUAGGUGGCAAGCGUUGUCCGGAAUUAUUGGGCGUAAAGCGCGCGCAGGUGGUUUAAUAAGUCUGAUGUGAAAGCCCACGGCUCAACCGUGGGGGGUCAUUGGAAACUGUUAAACUUGAGUGCAGGAGAGAAAAGUGGAAUUCCUAGUGUAGCGGUGAAAUGCGUAGAGAUUAGGAGGAACACCAGUGGCGAAGGCGGCUUUUUGGCCUGUAACUGACACUGAGGCGCGAAAGCGUGGGGAGCAAACAGGAUUAGAUACCCCCGUAGUCCCUGUCUCUUAUAC